rnacentral:misc_RNA from 1 species
CUCCUCCCUCUCCUCCUGCUUUCUUUCUUCCCCUCUUCCAAGAAAAGGGGAAAAGCAAAAACAAAAUCCAAAAACAAUAACAUAAAACAUAAAAAAAAAUUGUCAAGAGAAAGGAAGGAAAAGAGGUUAGGAGGGAAGUCUCUGGGAAAGAGGUUUGACCUCUCUUUCUCUCUCUCUUCCUUCUCUUUGAACCAGUCCAAUCCUCCUUUUGAAUUCAUCAUCAUCAUCGUUAUCAUCAUGCCUCGUCUUGUAAACUCCUUUUCUUGAACUUAUUCCCCACUUCCCUUCUUGCUUCCCAUAAAUCUCCUCUCAUUUUCUCUACCUUUGUUGUUCACAUACCUGCCUUCUUUGAUUUUUCUCGUUUAUUGAUCCGUAGUUUCGUGGAAAGUCAAAAUUUCCAUUUUCCAUAACAUUUGGCUUUUAUUGGGUCUUAUUCUCUUCAGAUUUGAUCUUUUAUAGCUGGAUCUUUGAUCUUCUAUCACAAUUAUAAAUACCCAUUUCUUGUUUUUCUCAAACUGACAGAUUUUGACUGAAAAUAAGAAAAAAAAUUUUUUUUAAUCGAUCUGAAUUCAUUUUUCGCUUCAAAUCCAAAUACCCAUCACACCAGGAGCCACAGAAAUCCCAACAAACAAGACUUUUUCUGGGUCAAAUUUAUAUCUUUUUUUAAUUUCUGAUUCAUGGGUAAUUGUUGUGUUACCCCUUCAACGGCCUCAAAACACGAGCAUAAGAAGAACAAGAAGAAACAAAAUCCAUUUGCUAUCGAUUAUGGUCACAGCAAUGGAGUCCAGCACAAGCUCACCGUCUUAAAAGACCCAACAGGAGGAGAAAUCGAGCAAAGAUAUGAGCUAGGCCGAGAGCUAGGUAGGGGUGAAUUUGGAAUAACAUACUUAUGUACAGACAAGGAGACUAGAGACACUUUCGCCUGCAAAUCAAUCUCUAAGAAGAAGCUAAGGACAGCAGUGGACAUCGAAGAUGUCAGGAGAGAAGUGCAGAUCAUGAGGCAUUUGCCUAAGCAUCCUAAUAUUGUGAGUUUGAAGGAUACAUAUGAGGAUGAUAACGCAGUGCAUUUGGUGAUGGAGUUGUGCGAGGGAGGGGAGCUGUUCGACAGGAUAGUAGCCAGAGGACAUUACAGCGAGAGAGCGGCAGCCAAUGUUGCCAGGACGAUAGCUGAGGUAGUUAGGAUGUGUCAUGAGAAUGGAGUUAUGCAUAGAGACUUGAAACCCGAGAAUUUUCUGUUUGCUAAUAAGAAAGAGAAUUCCGUGCUUAAGGCUAUUGAUUUUGGACUCUCAGUAUUUUUCAGGCCAGGAGAGAGGUUUACAGAGAUUGUUGGGAGUCCAUAUUACAUGGCACCAGAAGUGUUGAGGCGUAAUUAUGGUCCAGAGGUUGAUGUGUGGAGUGCUGGAGUGAUACUUUAUAUUUUAUUAUGUGGCGUUCCUCCAUUUUGGGCAGAGACUGAGCAGGGUGUUGCUCUGGCAAUUCUGAGGGGAGUGAUUGAUUUUAAGAGAGAACCAUGGCCUCAGAUUUCAGACAGUGCUAAGAGUCUUGUUCGGCAGAUGUUGGAGCCAGAUCCUAAAAAGCGCUUGACUGCUCAACAGGUGCUUGAACAUCCCUGGCUACAAAAUGCAAAGAAAGCUCCAAAUGCCCCAUUGGGAGACAUUGUGAGGACAAGGCUUAAGCAGUUUUCAUUGAUGAAUAGGUUUAAGAAGAAAGCAUUGCGGGUAAUUGCGGAACACCUAUCUCUUGAAGAGGUUGAAGUAAUCAGAGACAUGUUUGCAUUGAUGGAUACUGAUAAUGAUGGAAAAGUAACGUAUGAGGAACUGAGGGCUGGUCUUCGGAAGGUUGGUUCACAGCUGGCUGAACCAGAGAUAAAGAUGCUUAUGGAAGUGGCUGAUGUUGAUGGGAAUGGAGUGCUGGACUAUGGGGAGUUCGUAGCUGUAACAAUUCAUUUGCAGAAGAUGGAGAAUGAUGAACACUUCCGCAGGGCAUUUAUGUUUUUUGAUAAGGAUGGUAGUGGAUAUAUAGAAUUAGAUGAGCUACGAGAGGCCUUGGCAGAUGAAUCUGGUGAAACGGAUAAUGAUGUGCUGAAAGACAUCAUGCGUGAAGUUGACACUGACAAGGAUGGAUGCAUUAGUUAUGAAGAAUUUGUUGCUAUGAUGAAAGCUGGAACUGACUGGAGAAAGGCAUCUAGACAAUAUUCAAGGGAGAGAUUCAAGAGUUUGAGCCUCAACCUGAUGAAGGAUGGUUCAUUGCAACUCCAUGAUGGGCUCACUGGUCAAUCCUAUGCUGUCUAAACCAAACAGUUAAAUGAUUUUUUUUUGUUUGUGGUCACUGAAUGUUCCUGUCUUAUUAAUUAUAUUCCAUAUGCGGAGUCUAGCCCGUGGGUUUCUCACAAUGCAAGUUUUAGGAGACACACUGAAUAUUCUUGGGUUCAAUAGGACGGACUCAGUUGGCUAUAGGCAGCAUGAACCAUGCAUCAGAGGAUUGGUUCACGACAGAUAGCCAAAGCUUGGCAUUGUGGUGGCAUACAUUACAGGUUCAAAUUAGUGUCGCAUUGCUUUGUAUAUUUGUUUUUUCAUUGGCAUUAGAUGAUUUUCUUUUCUUCCAAGUGCUUUUCUGACUUCAUGCAGAAUCCCCAUUGGAAUUGUUUGUUUGUAAUGAGAACUUUGAGCUAGUGUCAAAUGUUCUAGUUUUGCAACUAUUUGAAAGGCAUAUUCCAGAAUCUGGAGUGAUGGGAAUUUUGCCAUUAUGGCUAUAUCCAUUCCAAUUGUACCUUCUGCUGUGAAAAUUUACGUUGUUUUUGAAUAGCAUCUUUAUGAAGUUAACAGAUCAACUU